ACAAAACAUCCCCCACGGGCUCCCUUAUCCCUUUGCAGCCACCACCUGCGGGUUGCCAGAGCAAAUCCCAAACGGGAAGAAGCAGGAGCAGAGCACUCACCAGGAGGAGGAAUCGGUGUUUCAGGGCUGUAAGAUGUCAAUUAUUGCUGUAGAAGAGGCAAAGCUACAUGUGGGUUUUGCCCUUUCCUCUCCAGGGAAUGGAAGCUGUGAAAGCAGAAACGCUGGGCACAAGCAGAAGAGGAGAGAUCUGAAACUCUGUGUUCUGGGAGUAAACAACUGGAACUGGGCGGCUUGUCUGCUGGAAGGUGAUCAGGAUCAAAAACCUGCAAUUGGGACAAGGAAGGAAACAAAGGGGAGAUGAGGUCUGGACAGGAUCACUGCCCUCACCUCUGAACUUGGCCUGCGUCUUGAACUCGAUGACCAGCCGUCUGUCCUCGCGGAUGUAGAUGGGGAUUAUCUGCAGGCGGGCCGAGAGCACGCUGUCCGUCUGGAUCCCUG